GACGAACGCUGGCGGCGUGCCUAAUACAUGCAAGUCGAGCGAAGUUUUUCUGGUGCUUGCACUAGAAAAACUUAGCGGCGAACGGGUGAGUAACACGUAAAGAACCUGCCUCAUAGACUGGGACAACUAUUGGAAACGAUAGCUAAUACCGGAUAACAGCAUUAACUGCAUGGUUGAUGUUUAAAAGUUGGUUUUGCUAACACUAUGAGAUGGCUUUGCGGUGCAUUAGCUAGUUGGUGGGGUAAAGGCCUACCAAGGCGACGAUGCAUAGCCGACCUGAGAGGGUGAUCGGCCACACUGGGACUGAGACACGGCCCAGACUCCUACGGGAGGCAGCAGUAGGGAAUCUUCCGCAAUGGGCGAAAGCCUGACGGAGCAACGCCGCGUGAGUGAAGAAGGAUUUCGGUUCGUAAAGCUCUGUUGUUAGGGAAGAAUGAUUGUGUAGUAACGAUACACAGUAGAGACGGUACCUAACCAGAAAGCCACGGCUAACUACGUG
rnacentral:rRNA from 1 species